ensembl:snRNA U2 U2 spliceosomal RNA
ACCGUUUUUCGGCCUUUUGACUAAAAUUAAGUGUAGUAUCUGUUCUUAGCAGUUUAAUAUCUGAUACAUCCUCUAUCCAAUGCGGAGACUGUUCAAAAGCCCAA